rnacentral:hammerhead_ribozyme from 1 species
UCACUGCUGAGGAGUCCUACAACAGGACGAAACGAUCGUCUAGUGC